ACUGCUUGUAUUUUUAGUAUAAUAAAUAAUAUUAUGUUAGUACCUUUUGUAUCAGGGUUAAUUAAUUUUUUAAUUAAUUAUGCUCUCGAAAUUAACAGAUUUAAACAUAUAAUUUAGUGUUAAAUAACUUUGUGUAUUAGUUUAGUAAAGAAAUUUUUUCGUUGUUAAAGAUAUCUAGUUACUAUGAUAUUGGUUGUAUAAGGGUUAGCUUUUUAUUUUUUUAUAUUUUAUUUAUAUUUGUAUAUUAGGCUUAAGAUUAGCUAUAUUUUUAGUUUGUUUUAAAUAUUUUAUUAGUGAUAACAGGUUAUUAGGUAGAUCGGUGACCGUAUGAAAUUUUUUUUAUGAGGCGUAAUUAUUAAAUUAGUAUUUUUUUUUACUAAAGCGUAUAACUUGUUUUUUGUAGAAUAGUUUAACAAAAACAUUUCUUUUUCUUUAAAAAGUAUGACCUGCCCAGUGAUUUAAACGGCCGCGGUAUUUUGACUGUGCUAAGGUAGCAUAAUAAUUUGUUUUUUGAUUGGGGACUGGCAUGAAAGGUUUAAUUUACAAAAAUUUUUAUUUUUAGUAUAGAUAAGUUAUGUUUGUAGUAAGAAAACUAUAAUUAAGUAAAGUGACGAUAAGACCCUAUAAGCUUUUAUUUUUUUAUGAGGCAGAAAAUAUUUAUUUAGCGUAUUUUUAUAAAAUUAAUUUUACUGGGGCAGUAGCAUUAUAUUAAUUAAUAUAAGUGAGAACACUUAUUAGUGGUAUUAUGGGCUUUUAUAUAGUAGCGGCGAGUUUUAGUUACUGUAGGGAUAACAGCGCAAUGGUUUUGGAGAGGCCUUAUCAAUAAGAUUGUUUGCGACCUCGAUGUUGAAUUAAAAUUUCUUUUUUCUGCAGCAGGUUAAAUAGUAGGUUUGUUCAACCUUUAAAAUUUUACAUGAUCUGAGUUCAAAUCGGCUUAAGCCAGAUUGGUUUCUAUCUUUUAUAUGCGAUAAUUUGUGUAAGUACGAGAGGGACACGUAAAUUUU
rnacentral:rRNA from 1 species